rnacentral:rRNA from 1 species
UAAUACGAAGGGGGCUAGCGUUGCUCGGAAUUACUGGGCGUAAAGCGCGCGCAGGUGGCCUGUUAAGUUGGGGGUGAAAGCCCGGAGCUCAACUCCGGAAUUGCCUUCAAGACUGGCAGGCUAGAGUACGGCAGAGGAGAGUGGAAUUCCCAGUGUAGAGGUGAAAUUCGUAGAUAUUGGGAAGAACACCAGUGGCGAAGGCGGCUCUCUGGUCCGUUACUGACACUGAGGCGCGAAAGCGUGGGGAGCAAACAGGAUUAGAUACCCUGGUAGUCCACGCUGUAAACGAUGGGUGCUAGCUGUCGGACAGCAUGCUGUUCGGUGGCGCAGCUAACGCAUUAAGCACCCCGCCUGGGGAGUACGGUCGCAAGAUUA